rnacentral:snRNA from 1 species
GUGCUUCCUUUGGCAGUACAUAUAUUAAAAUUGAAAUGAUACAGAGAAAUUAGCAUGGCCCCUUUGCAAGGAUGAGAUGCAAAUUUGUGAAGCAUUCCAUAUUUAA